rnacentral:rRNA from 1 species
CCGCGCCUACGGGACGCAGCAGUGGGGAAUAUUGCACAAUGGGGGAAACCCUGAUGCAGCGACGCCGCGUGAAGGAAGAAGUAUUUCGGUAUGUAAACUUCUAUCAGCAGGGAAGAAAAUGACGGUACCUGACUAAGAAGCCCCGGCUAACUACGUGCCAGCAGCCGCGGUAAUACGUAGGGGGCAAGCGUUAUCCGGAUUUACUGGGUGUAAAGGGAGCGUAGGCGGUUUAGCAAGUCCGAAGUGAAAGCCCGGGGCUCAACUCCGGGACUGCUUUUGAACCCGUUGAACUAGCUUGCAGGAGG